UGGCUCAGUGGUAGAGCGCUUGCCUUGCACGCAUGAGGCCCUGGGUUCCAUUCCUCAG
rnacentral:tRNA from 1 species